GACGAACGCUGGCGGCGUGCUUAACACAUGCAAGUCGAACGGAAAGGCCCUGCUUGCAGGGUACUCGAGUGGCGAACGGGUGAGUAACACGUGGGUGAUCUGCCCUGCACUUCGGGAUAAGCCUGGGAAACUGGGUCUAAUACCGGAUAGGAGCCAUUUUUAGUGUGAUGGUUGGAAAGUUUUUUCGGUGUAGGAUGAGCUCGCGGCCUAUCAGCUUGUUGGUGGGGUAAUGGCCUACCAAGGCGGCGACGGGUAGCCGGCCUGAGAGGGUGGACGGCCACAUUGGGACUGAGAGAAGGCCCAGACUCCGACGGGAGGCAGCAGUGGGGAAGAUUGCACAAUGGGCGCAAGCCUGAUGCAGCGACGCCGCGUGGGGGAUGACGGCCUUCGGGUUGUAAACUCCUUUCGCUAGGGACGAAGCUUUUUGUGACGGUACCUAGAGAAGAAGCACCGGCUAACUACGUG
rnacentral:rRNA from 1 species